rnacentral:rRNA from 1 species
AGGACGAACGCUGGCGGCGUGCCUAACACAUGCAAGUCGAACGAGAUCCAUGGGAGCUUGCUCCCGGAAGAUCUAGUGGCGAACGGGUGAGUAACACGUGAGAAACCUGCCCUGGAGUGGGGAAUAACUCGGGGAAACUCGAGCUAAUACCGCAUACCCUCGGAUGGUCGCAUGGCCGACCGAGGAAAGAUUUAUCGCUCUAGGAGGGUCUCGCGGCCUAUCAGCUAGUUGGUGGGGUAACGGCCUACCAAGGCAACGACGGGUAGCUGGUUCGAGAGAACGAUCAGCCACACUGGGACUGAGACACGGCCCAGACUCCUACGGGAGGCAGCAGUGGGGAAUCUUGCGCAAUGGGCGAAAGCCUGACGCAGCAACGCCGCGUGCGGGAUGACGGCCUUCGUGGUUGUAAACCGCUUUCAGCAGGGACGAAAAUGACGGUACCUGCAGAAGAAGCCCCGGCUAACUACGUG